rnacentral:rRNA from 1 species
GACGAACGCUGGCGGCGUGCCUAAUACAUGCAAGUUGAGCGAUGAAGAUUGGUGCUUGCACCAAUUUGAAGAGCAGCGAACGGGUGAGUAACGCGUGGGGAAUCUGCCUUUGAGCGGGGGACAACAUUUGGAAACGAAUGCUAAUACCGCAUAACAACUUUAAACAUAAGUUUUAAGUUUGAAAGAUGCAAUUGCAUCACUCAAAGAUGAUCCCGCGUUGUAUUAGCUAGUUGGUGAGGUAAAGGCUCACCAAGGCGAUGAUACAUAGCCGACCUGAGAGGGUGAUCGGCCACAUUGGGACUGAGACACGGCCCUAACUCCUACGGGAGGCAGCAGUAGGGAAUCUUCGGCAAUGGACGAAAGUCUGACCGAGCAACGCCGCGUGAGUGAAGAAGGUUUUCGGAUCGUAAAACUCUGUUGGUAGAGAAGAACGUUGGUGAGAGUGGAAAGCUCAUCAAGUGACGGUAACUACCCAGAAAGGGACGGCUAACUACGUG